UGCAGAGGGAGGCUUCAACAAGGUGUUUCUUCCGCGAGCAAAAAGAAUGGCCGUGAAACGAUUGUGCCAAUUCGCACUCCUAUUGCCAGACCUCUUUAUUACACAACUGUCAGUGAGGUAGCGGCAAUGGACUUUUUGAGAACUGUCCUCAAACUGCCGGUACCGGCUGUCUUGGCGUAUUCAACAUCGUCUGUCAAUCCCAUUGGAGUAGAGUGUAUUCUGAUGGAGUGAGUGGAGGGCGAGAACCCUUCCUCACGGCGGCUAUCUCUCACAACCAGUGAGUUAAAAAAGUCAUCAUGACAUAAAUCGCAGAGAUGGAGAGGAAGAUACUUGACUUCCGUUUUCUUGCGUACGGAAGUUUAUAUCACGAAAAGGAUCUUACGGGAAGACCCAGAUACCAAUUGUAGAGGAUUUCCGUUUCGGUCCUGUACGUGCUCGACAGUAUUGGCAUGGCGAACGAAGCAAAGCAGAAAUUGACCGCGGGCCCUGUAGGUUUCCGCCUCACCGCUUCCCGUUUGUUCUCUGUCAUUUGAAACGAAACGACAUUUAGGGCUGAGAUAAUUGCCAUAGGGCUUUCACCUGUGGAUUGUGUUACCUCCCCGGCUCGCCGGGAGAUGGUUAUCAUUCGGCGUCACUCCAAACCCCAGCUUCGCCAGCCAUUUCUACUACCAACUAACUAUAACAUUCACCCAUCUGAGCGAACCUCGUUACUUUCGCACUUCCCACAUUUGGCGCCUCAUUUAAUCCCACCUGAUUCUCGCAGCGUUC
rnacentral:sRNA from 1 species